rnacentral:rRNA from 1 species
CAAACGACUCUCGGCAACGGAUAUCUCGGCUCACGCAUCGAUGAAGAACGUAGCAAAAUGCGAUACUUGGUAUGCAUUGCAGAAUCCCGUGAACCAUCGAGUUUUUGAACGCAAGUUGCGCCCGAAGCCUUUUGGCCGAGGGC